AGCUUUAUGCGCACAUAUAAAGUUAAUUCUGCCCAGUGAGAUUUUUUAACGGCCGCAGUACUCUGACUGUGCUAAGGUAGCAUAAUAAGUUGGCUUUUAAUUGAAGUCUGGAAUGAACGGAGUUUGGGGGGGGUUCUUUCUUAUUUUUUAUAUUACUAAUUUACUAAAGAAGUGAAAAUUCUUCUAUAAACAAGAAGGACGAGAAGACCCUUAGAGUUUGAAAAAUUUUAUAUUUUUUUUUUUGUUGGGGCGACAAAGCAGGUGAACCUGCUGUUACACACACGUCUAUUUUUAUAUGAAAGAAAAAACUACCUUAGGGAUAACAGCAUAAUUUUUUAAAAAGAUUGUGACCUCGAUGUUGGACUAGGAACUUAAUGAUUAGCAGUUUAAUUAGAAUGUUCUGUUCGAACUUUUUUCCU
rnacentral:rRNA from 1 species